AUUCAGUAGAAUGUAAGGCGCUAUUCAAAUAUUCACCAGAAACGGAUGCUAAAGUAAACUUCAAGGCUUUUGCAUAGCAACGGGAGAUACUCGCAAAUCUGAAAAUGAUGAUGUUGUUAAACUGAAUACUACUAUCGGUCAUUCUUUCUUUGUAAAAAUUGGGAUGAUUACUAUAGCAAGUUGGACAGUCGGUUUGGUGUGCGCAAGCACAAGGACGUCGAGAUGCCACACCGUAUGGACUAGUCAUUGUCUGGAAAAAUAGAAGCUGAAUGAGGACUCCCGCUGGAGGUUGGCGCCGGAGGCGACACGCCGUCCACUCUCCCACCCAUGUACACCGAUACUACACUGAUGUCCACAGUGCAACUGGAAACUGAACAGCAUGCUUGGGAAUCGAAAAUGGCAAGGAGCCAGGACAGUAGUGUUGCUGAAAGUAAAGCGUGAACAAAGAAGCAGAUCAGGCGGUAAGAAAGGAGACAGUGU